UUAAGCGACUAAGCGUACACGGUGGAUGCCCUGGCAGUCAGAGGCGAUGAAGGACGUGCUAAUCUGCGAUAAGCGUCGGUAAGGUGAUAUGAACCGUUAUAACCGGCGAUUUCCGAAUGGGGAAACCCAGUGUGUUUCGACACACUAUCAUUAACUGAAUCCAUAGGUUAAUGAGGCGAACCGGGGGAACUGAAACAUCUAAGUACCCCGAGGAAAAGAAAUCAACCGAGAUUCCCCCAGUAGCGGCGAGCGAACGGGGAGGAGCCCAGAGCCUGAAUCAGUGUGUGUGUUAGUGGAAGCGUCUGGAAAGGCGCGCGAUACAGGGUGACAGCCCCGUACACAAAAAUGCACAUAUUGUGAGCUCGAUGAGUAGGGCGGGACACGUGGUAUCCUGUCUGAAUAUGGGGGGACCAUCCUCCAAGGCUAAAUACUCCUGACUGACCGAUAGUGAACCAGUACCGUGAGGGAAAGGCGAAAAGAACCCCGGCGAGGGGAGUGAAAAAGAACCUGAAACCGUGUACGUACAAGCAGUGGGAGCCUCUUUUAUGGGGUGACUGCGUACCUUUUGUAUAAUGGGUCAGCGACUUAUAUUCUGUAGCAAGGUUAACCGAAUAGGGGAGCCGAAGGGAAACCGAGUCUUAACUGGGCGUUAAGUUGCAGGGUAUAGACCCGAAACCCGGUGAUCUAGCCAUGGGCAGGUUGAAGGUUGGGUAACACUAACUGGAGGACCGAACCGACUAAUGUUGAAAAAUUAGCGGAUGACUUGUGGCUGGGGGUGAAAGGCCAAUCAAACCGGGAGAUAGCUGGUUCUCCCCGAAAGCUAUUUAGGUAGCGCCUCGUGAAUUCAUCUCCGGGGGUAGAGCACUGUUUCGGCAAGGGGGUCAUCCCGACUUACCAACCCGAUGCAAACUGCGAAUACCGGAGAAUGUUAUCACGGGAGACACACGGCGGGUGCUAACGUCCGUCGUGAAGAGGGAAACAACCCAGACCGCCAGCUAAGGUCCCAAAGUCAUGGUUAAGUGGGAAACGAUGUGGGAAGGCCCAGACAGCCAGGAUGUUGGCUUAGAAGCAGCCAUCAUUUAAAGAAAGCGUAAUAGCUCACUGGUCGAGUCGGCCUGCGCGGAAGAUGUAACGGGGCUAAACCAUGCACCGAAGCUGCGGCAGCGACACUAUGUGUUGUUGGGUAGGGGAGCGUUCUGUAAGCCUGUGAAGGUGUACUGUGAGGUAUGCUGGAGGUAUCAGAAGUGCGAAUGCUGACAUAAGUAACGAUAAAGCGGGUGAAAAGCCCGCUCGCCGGAAGACCAAGGGUUCCUGUCCAACGUUAAUCGGGGCAGGGUGAGUCGACCCCUAAGGCGAGGCCGAAAGGCGUAGUCGAUGGGAAACAGGUUAAUAUUCCUGUACUUGGUGUUACUGCGAAGGGGGGACGGAGAAGGCUAUGUUGGCCGGGCGACGGUUGUCCCGGUUUAAGCGUGUAGGCUGGUUUUCCAGGCAAAUCCGGAAAAUCAAGGCUGAGGCGUGAUGACGAGGCACUACGGUGCUGAAGCAACAAAUGCCCUGCUUCCAGGAAAAGCCUCUAAGCAUCAGGUAACAUCAAAUCGUACCCCAAACCGACACAGGUGGUCAGGUAGAGAAUACCAAGGCGCUUGAGAGAACUCGGGUGAAGGAACUAGGCAAAAUGGUGCCGUAACUUCGGGAGAAGGCACGCUGAUAUGUAGGUGAAGUCCCUCGCGGAUGGAGCUGAAAUCAGUCGAAGAUACCAGCUGGCUGCAACUGUUUAUUAAAAACACAGCACUGUGCAAACACGAAAGUGGACGUAUACGGUGUGACGCCUGCCCGGUGCCGGAAGGUUAAUUGAUGGGGUCAGCGCAAGCGAAGCUCUUGAUCGAAGCCCCGGUAAACGGCGGCCGUAACUAUAACGGUCCUAAGGUAGCGAAAUUCCUUGUCGGGUAAGUUCCGACCUGCACGAAUGGCGUAAUGAUGGCCAGGCUGUCUCCACCCGAGACUCAGUGAAAUUGAACUCGCUGUGAAGAUGCAGUGUACCCGCGGCAAGACGGAAAGACCCCGUGAACCUUUACUAUAGCUUGACACUGAACAUUGAGCCUUGAUGUGUAGGAUAGGUGGGAGGCUUAGAAGUGUGGACGCCAGUCUGCAUGGAGCCGACCUUGAAAUACCACCCUUUAAUGUUUGAUGUUCUAACGUUGACCCGUGAUCCGGGUUGCGGACAGUGUCUGGUGGGUAGUUUGACUGGGGCGGUCUCCUCCUAAAGAGUAACGGAGGAGCACGAAGGUUGGCUAAUCCUGGUCGGACAUCAGGAGGUUAGUGCAAUGGCAUAAGCCAGCUUGACUGCGAGCGUGACGGCGCGAGCAGGUGCGAAAGCAGGUCAUAGUGAUCCGGUGGUUCUGAAUGGAAGGGCCAUCGCUCAACGGAUAAAAGGUACUCCGGGGAUAACAGGCUGAUACCGCCCAAGAGUUCAUAUCGACGGCGGUGUUUGGCACCUCGAUGUCGGCUCAUCACAUCCUGGGGCUGAAGUAGGUCCCAAGGGUAUGGCUGUUCGCCAUUUAAAGUGGUACGCGAGCUGGGUUUAGAACGUCGUGAGACAGUUCGGUCCCUAUCUGCCGUGGGCGCUGGAGAACUGAGGGGGGCUGCUCCUAGUACGAGAGGACCGGAGUGGACGCAUCACUGGUGUUCGGGUUGUCAUGCCAAUGGCACUGCCCGGUAGCUAAAUGCGGAAGAGAUAAGUGCUGAAAGCAUCUAAGCACGAAACUUGCCCCGAGAUGAGUUCUCCCUGACUCCUUGAGAGUCCUGAAGGAACGUUGAAGACGACGACGUUGAUAGGCCGGGUGUGUAAGCGCAGCGAUGCGUUGAGCUAACCGGUACUAAUGAACCGUGAGGCUUAACCUU
rnacentral:rRNA from 1 species